UCUUUCUUCUUUUUUUUUUCUCUUCUUUCUUUCCUUUCCUUGCUGCGAAACCGGAACCCAUUUCCGGCGAAAUCACCGCCACCGUCCGCACCACCGGCCAUUAGAGGAUCCUCUCUUCCUCCUCUUGCAUCUAAGCUUGUUUUAAUCUAUGGAGGAAGAUUUGAAGGUGUUUGAGCGUGUGAACAGUACUGUGAACAGUAACUGUCGAGUUCUUGGUUUUUGUUUGAUUUCUCUGGCCUUUUCUGCUUGAUUUUGGUUGUUGUUGCAGGACGUAUUGAUCCCUUGAGCGAGGGGAUACGGGUAGGCAGCAGGAUUAGCUGCGAGACUCACCUUUUGCAGGCGAAAUUAGUUGAGGUCGGGCGUACAUUGGAGUUGAGGCAUAGUCAACAGCAUGGCUUCCGCGGUUGCCUUUGAGUUAGGUUGUCCUUAUUUACCUUUCUAUUAGAAUUGCUCUGAUUACCUAUGGGAUUUAUGUUUUUCAAGUUGAGGUUUGUGUUUUGUGAA